UCUUUAAUUUGUCUUUUUCUUAUUGCAGCUGAGUCUGUUUUCUAUUUCAGUCAAGCAACACUGUUCCCCAUCAUCUAACUUUUUUUUGUGCCACAUAUAAAUCUUAUCAAUAAGAGUACAGACUUUUAAAAGUAAAACAGUGUGCUUAGAAUUGACUGCAGUGCCUGCGGUGUUGGCAAUCCACACAUACUGCCUGGAUAUAAAACUAAAAAGGGUAAGGUAUCAGUCUAAGGCAGCGUUUUUGUCUGAAAAUACCAUGUCCAUUACAUGUAAAAUUGUACUGGCUGCUGAAGCCCUGACAGUCUUUAUUUUAAAUUCCUCUGUAUCUUGUCAGGUCACUGUAUGAGCACACCAGUAUUUACCAAACUGUUCCAAGGUAGGCCAUCCUUUAAAAGAAAUAAUAUAGCUGUUUCCACAGAUUUAAAGGCAGUGUCUCAAACUACCUGCCAAUUAGAUUUUACUUGAUUCUAAGCUGAAGCUUUCAGUGCAAUUCUCCUAAUACUUCUUUGUGUCAGAAUCUACCCUAUUACACACUUCCUCACUAGAAAAGGUGAAAUUAAUAAUCCGUUUAGUAUUUUUUGUCUCUAUUGAAUUUUCUUUCAGACACUGAGGAGUGGAUUUUGAUUUUUAAUGAGAUGUCAAAUUCUUUCUGACAAAGUAAGCAGUAAUUCUACAUGUCUCUAUAAAUAAAGACUUAAUACGUUGUUAUGCCAUCUCCCACAGACUCAAAACAACAGGCUGAUAUUGUGCUCAGUGUUCUCACCUGUCAGCCGUGUUGACUACUUUGCACUGAUGAGGUGCUCUUAAGAGACAUAAGUGCCUCUAAGCCUGCACUAACUGAUCCUAAGGACCUGGCCCUCUGGCUAUUACUUACAUCUAUCUGACACUACCAUUUGACUGUGGAGUAGUUUUUCUGCAGAAUACUGAAUGGACUGCAAUAAUGUCCUUUCUUCACAAGAUGAACAUAUGCCUGGGAGUAUGUGGGCUCAAGUUCCCUCAAGCAGGACUCUUCUAUAGAGGGUGAGUGCUCUGUUGAAGGAACAAUACUGUGAUGCUGUCACCUCUUUACACUAUUUUUCUUGUCCAAUGUCUACUUUUUCUUGUCCAACAUACAAUCAGUUGAUAUCUAUUUGAUCAGGCUCUGUCAGUCAAGCCAACAGAAAACAUCUGGUUCUUACAUCUUUACAUAAUUUGGGUGUGAGCUGAGUUUUCAGUUACUGGGCAGCACCAGGAGGCACAGUUAUGUGUGUGUAAACAGAGCCACCCAAUGAACUCUACCGUCAGAAAUGUAAACAUGUAAGGGAUUCAGUUAAUGUCAAAGUUUAUUGGAAACUGAGCAAAGGUUCUGAGACUUAACUGUUCUCCGAGGGUGGGAGUGUCAACCUGCUGGAGGGUAGGAAGGCUCUGCAAAGGGAUCUGGACAGGCUGGAUUGAUGGGCUGAGGCCAGUUG